UAAACGGACCAUCGAGUAUCCAUUGGAGGGCAAGUCUGGUGCCAGCAGCUGCGGUAAUACCAGCUCCAAUAGCGUAUAUUAAAGUUGUUGCAGUUAAAAAGCUCGUAGUCGGACUUGUGAGCGCUGUCCGCGGGUGGCCUGCGCCCAAAAGGGCGUUUCGGUUCGGCCCCGGUGGCGCCUUGAAAUCUGCAGCUGGGGGGACGUUGGCCUUAACUGGUCGGCGACCGCACGCCGGCUGCUCGGUUACUGUGAGAAAAUUAGAGUGUUCAAGGCAGGCAUUGGGUGCAAUUGAAUACAUUAGCAUGGAAUAAUAAAAUAUGGCUCCUGCCGUAUUUUGUUGGUUUUGACUGGUGGGAGUAAUGAUUGAUAGGGACGGUUGGGGGUGCUAGUAUUGAGCGGCCAGAGGUGAAAUUCAUGGAUUCGCUCAAGACUAACUUAUGCGAAAGCAUUCACCAAGGACGUCCUCUUUAAUCAAGAACGAAAGUUGGGGGAUCGAAGACGAUCAGAUACCGUCGUAGUCUCAACCAUAAACUAUGUCGACUUGGGAUCGGCGGUAGUUUUUUCAUUAAGACACUGUCGGGACCACGGGAGAAAUCAAAGUGUCUGGACUCUGGGGGAAGUAUGGUCGCAAGGCUGAAACUUGAAGGAAUUGACGGAAGGGCACCACCAGGAGUGGAGCCUGCGGCUUAAUUUGACCCAACACGGGGAAACUUACCAGGUCCAGAGAUGUAGAGGAUUGACAGAUUGAAGCUCUUUCUUGAUCACUUCGGUGGUGGUGCAUGGCCGUUCUUAGUUGGUGGAGUGAUUUGUCUGGUUAAUUUCGUUAACGAACGAGACCUCAGCCUGCUAGUGUAGUCGGCUGGAUUGCCUUUGGCGAUCCGUGAUUUCGACUUCUUAGAGGGACAAUCGACGCGCAGUCGAUGGAAGUUUGAGGCAAUAACAGGUCUGUGAUGCCCUUAGAUGUUCUGGGCCGCACGCGCGCUACACUCUGGGCUCAGCGAGUUUUACUUGGCCGAGAGGCCCGGUUAAUCUUGUGAAAUCCCAGCGUGCUUGGGCUCGCCUCCUGCAACUGGAGGCGCCAACGAGGAAUUCCUAGUAGACGCAGGUCAUCAACCUGCAUCGAUUACGUCCCUGCCCUUUGUACACACCGCCCGUCGUUCCAUAAGAGUGAGGCAUCCGGUGAAUUCUCGGGAGAGCCUGGGCGUGGCCAGCAAUGGUCUGCUCGGGUUUGAACUUGCAUAAACUUGGUGCCUAUGAUUAGGG
rnacentral:rRNA from 1 species